rnacentral:rRNA from 1 species
AUGGUACUGCUGGUGCUAUAUAGUGGAGGAUUUCGCCGAGCCUAUUUGGACAUGGUCAGGAGCACGCCACAGUCCUGCUGUCUUCACUUGUGUCAUCUCUUGCUCUCUUCUGCUUUUCUUCUCGCUGGCCUGACUUGUCCAGCUUCGAUCCUCGGCAAUCCUAGAUUUAGAGCAUCUACCAACAUGUCCAACUGCAUGGACGUCUCGGCCACGCCGUCCCCGGAGCCGCCCCCGCCGACGGCGGCGCUGGACUACGACAUGGUGGUGAUCCUGGCGGCGAUGCUGUGCGCGCUGGUGUGCGUGCUGGGGCUCAACUCCGUGCUCCAGCAGUGCGUGGCGCGGUGCGCCCGCCGCGCCGUGGCCGACCCCGUCGGAUGGGUGGCGCACCGCCGCGCCAACGCCGGGCUCAAGCGCGAGGCCCUCGUUGCACUGCCCGUCGCCACGUACGCCGGCGAGAAGCAGCACGCGUCGGCCGGUGCCGGGUGCGCCAUCUGCCUGUCGGACUUCGCCGACGGGGAGACCAUCCGCGUGCUCCCCGUGUGCGGCCACCGGUUCCACGUGCCCUGCGUCGACAGGUGGCUCGCCUCGCGCUGCUCGUGCCCGACGUGCCGGCGCCGCCUCUCGGCCGACUGCGCUGGCGCCGGAGAAGGCCACCGCCAAGUCCUGCAAGUUCUGAACGCCGUGUGA